AAACGGGAUGGCCCAUGAAUUUUACAUUUAAAGACUAAAUUUUAGUGCACGCUACAAAUCUGACAAUAGGUUUACGAUUAGCAGCUAAAAUCACGAGCCUAUUUGUUUAAAAUU